GACGAACGCUGGCGGCGUGCUUAACACAUGCAAGUCGAACGGAAAGGCCCUGCUUUUGUGGGGUGCUCGAGUGGCGAACGGGUGAGUAACACGUGAGUAACCUGCCCCUGACUCUGGGAUAACUUCAGGAAACUGGGGCUAAUACCGGAUAGGAGCUCCUACUGCAUGGUGGGGGUUGGAAAGUUACGGCGGUCGGGGAUGGACUCGCGGCUUAUCAGCUUGUUGGUGGGGUAGUGGCUUACCAAGGCUUUGACGGGUAGCCGGCCUGAGAGGGUGACCGGCCACAUUGGGACUGAGAUACGGCCCAGACUCCUACGGGAGGCAGCAGUGGGGAAUAUUGCACAAUGGGCGGAAGCCUGAUGCAGCAACGCCGCGUGCGGGAUGACGGCCUUCGGGUUGUAAACCGCUUUCGCCUGUGACGAAGCGUGAGUGACGGUAAUGGGUAAAGAAGCACCGGCUAACUACGUG
rnacentral:rRNA from 1 species